AUACCAUGAUGAGGACACUACCAUAAUAAACUCUUAAAUCUAUCCUAUGCUUCAAAUAGUGAUUCUCCAUCUACCUGAGAAAAGAUUGUGAUUCUAUUCCUCAUAU